rnacentral:rRNA from 1 species
AGCGAACGCUGGCGGCAGGCCUAACACAUGCAAGUCGAGCGCCGUAGCAAUACGGAGCGGCAGACGGGAGAGUAACACGUGGGAACGUGCCCUUCAGUUCGGAACAACCCAGGGAAACUUGGGCUAAUACCGGAUACGUCCGUAAGGAGAAAGAUUUAUCGCUGAAGGAUCGGCCCGCGUCUGAUUAGCUAGUUGGGGGGGUAACGGCCCACCAAGGCGACGAUCAGUAGCUGGUCUGAGAGGAUGAGCAGCCUCACGGGGACUGAGACACGGCCCGGACGCCUACGGGAGGCAGCAGUGGGGAAUAUUGGACAAUGGGCGCAAGCCUGAUCCAGCCAUGCCGCGUGGGUGAUGAAGGCCCUAGGGUUGUAAAGCCCUUUCGGCGGGGAAGAUAAUGACGGUACCCGCAGAAGAAGCCCCGGCUAACUUCGUGCCAGCCGCCGCUGUAAAAC